GCUAGAAUUAAGGGUUUUGAUACUUCUUGAUGUAUAUAUAUAUUGUAACUCUCUUAGUGAAAGGGGGACAGAAAACAUUUCAGAAUUUCUCUUGUAUUAUCUUGUCAUGGUAUCAGAGCCAAAAUUCUGAAAUCAA